CGGCUGGUCACCGUCACGACCUAAUUUUGGCUGCUUCCCCCCUCCUGUCGCCGGAUGUUUUGAUCAGCUGUGGCCGUGAAGGGAUCUGGAGGAACACGGAUGGCACGGAGCAGGGCCACUUUAAGUUCCCAGUCUGCCCCUGGCUGCAUGGACAUGGUCAUGUGACCACAGCCCAGAAUGGAAGAUAAGGCCAAUAAAGGCCUUAAUCCAAGAGGUUGUGAACUGGCUGAGGAUCAGAGCCCAAGACACCCUUGUAAAGUCCCUCCAAGAAUUAACAAGAAGCUAAAGAUGAACCCAACACCUGCUUGACCCAUUUCUUAAUCCUGCAUGACAGAGCUAACUAGCCUACUGAUGAACCUGGAGAAAAGGAGGAAAACAAUCUCAUAAUUUGUGUUUAUGUGGUUGUCCAAAACUAUCUUCAUAGAACAUGACCACAGAGGGAUAUGUUUGAGACCUGAAAGAUGCUAUAAAAUAAAUGUCAGUAGGAUCAACAAUAUUAAAGGGAACCUGUCGCCAUGAAAAUGCAAUUGAAGCUACAGGCAGCAUGUUAUAGAGCAGGAGGAGCUGGGCAGAUUGAUAUAUAGAUGUUUUAAAUAGAUUCAGUAUAAAUCAUAUUUUAUCCGUUUAAAUUCCUGCAUUCUGGGCUUUGAAGUGAAGCAGGCGGUCCUAUCCGUGAUUGACAGCCUUCCCUCUAUGACUGUACAUACACAGAUAGCUGUAAGUCAUUGAUAGGACCGCCUCAUGGGCGCCAAAGCCCAGAAUGGACAGGAAGUUAGAUGGAUGAAAUACAAGUUUUAUGGAAUCUAUUUCAACAAAUCUAUAUCUCAGUCUGCUCAUCUCCUCCUGCUCUAUAACUAGUGAUGAGCAGCAGGGGCAAUAUUCAAAUUCCCGAUAUUUCGCAAAUAUUUGUCAUAAAUUCGCGAAUUCGCCAUUAUUUUCUUGAUUG